UCAUGUACAUUCCUACAACAUCAAUGCAUUGAAUCCCAUUAGAAAUUCGUAGUUACGCAAGCAUGGGCUAGAGUAGUACUGGGAUGGGUGACCUCCCAAAAAGUCCUAUUUUUUUACAUGCC
rfam:Picea glauca, whole genome shotgun sequence.